GCUCAUGUCAGCCGCCUGCUGCCUGCAGACGAUCACAAAUCAGCGCACCUGGACCUGAUGAGAGGGAGCUGUAUAAAGGACCAGUGGACCCAAGGAUCCAUGCGGGAACUUAGUUCUCUAUUGUGUACCUGCUUUCCCGAGUUUCCCCGUCGUGAUCUCCUGUCGUUCCCCUCUGGAUUCUGACUGCCUCCCUCGUUCCUCGACCCCUGCUUGGACACGGACUAUGCUGCCUCGCCCCUAUCCUCGACCCUCGCCUGGACACGGACCUUGCCGCUUCUCUCGCUCUCUCGCUCCUCAACACUCGGUAAUACACAACAAUUAAUUACACACAGUCAUACACCACACACUCUUGAAUU